UCGCGUCUACGGUUGAGCGGCCCUCUC
rnacentral:sRNA from 1 species